UACGGAGGAUGCAAGCGUUAUCCGGAUUCAUUGGGUUUAAAGGGUGCGUAGGCGGACUGAUAAGUCAGUGGUGAAAUCUCUUUGCUUAACAAAGAAACUGCCAUUGAUACUGUCGGUCUAGAGUAUAGAUGACGUUGGCGGAAUAUGACAUGUAGUGGUGAAAUACUUAGAUAUGUCAUAGAACACCGAUUGCGAAGGCAGCUAACGAAACUAUAACUGACGCUGAGGCACGAAAGUGCGGGGAUCAAACAGG
rnacentral:rRNA from 1 species